GAUGAACGCUGGCGGCGUGCCUAAUACAUGCAAGUCGAGCGAACGGACGAGAAGCUUGCUUCUCUGAUGUUAGCGGCGGACGGGUGAGUAACACGUGGAUAACCUACCUAUAAGACUGGGAUAACUUCGGGAAACCGUAGCUAAUACCGGAUAAUAUUUUGAACCGCAUGGUUCAAAAGUGAAAGACGGUCCUGCUGUCACUUAUAGAUGGAUCCGCGCUGCAUUAGCUAGUUGGUAAGGUAACGGCUUACCAAGGCAACGAUGCAUAGCCGACCUGAGAGGGUGAUCGGCCACACUGGAACUGAGACACGGUCCAGACUCCUACGGGAGGCAGCAGUAGGGAAUCUUCCGCAAAGGGCGAAAGCCUGACGGAGCAACGCCGCGUGAGUGAUGAAGGUCUUCGGAUCGUAAAACUCUGUUAUUAGGGAAGAACAUAUGUGUAAGUAACUGUGCACAUCUUGACGGUACCUAAUCAGAAAGCCACGGCUAACUACGUG
rnacentral:rRNA from 1 species